rnacentral:rRNA from 1 species
GGAAUAUUGCGCAAUGGGGGAAACCCUGACGCAGCAACGCCGCGUGAGUGAAGAAGUAUCUCGGUAUGUAAAGCUCUAUCAGCGGGGAAGAAAGAGGACGGUCCCCGACUAAGAAGCCCCGGCUAACUACGUGCCAGCAGCCGCGGUAAUACGUAGGAGGCAAGCGUUAUCCGGAAUGACUGGGCGUAAAGGGUGCGUAGGUGGUUUGGCAAGUUAGUAGCGUAACUCCGGAGCUCAACUUCGGAACUACUACUAAAACUGUCGGACUUGAGUGCAGGAGGGGCAACUGGAAUUCCUAGUGUAGCGGUGGAAUGCGUAGAUAUUAGGAGGAACACCAGUGGCGAAGGCGAGUUGCUGGACUGUAACUGACACUGAGGCACGAAAGCGUGGGGAGCAAACAG